rnacentral:rRNA from 1 species
UACGUAGGUGGCAAGCGUUAUCCGGAUUUAUUGGGCGUAAAGGGAACGCAGGCGGUCUUUUAAGUCUGAUGUGAAAGCCUUCGGCUUAACCGGAGUAGUGCAUUGGAAACUGGGAGACUUGAGUGCAGAAGAGGAGAGUGGAACUCCAUGUGUAGCGGUGAAAUGCGUAGAUAUAUGGAAGAACACCAUUGGCGAAAGCGGCUCUCUGGUCUGUAACUGACGCUGAGGUUCGAAAGCGUGGGUAGCAAACAGG